GACGAACGCUGGCGGCGUGCUUAACACAUGCAAGUCGAACGAUGAUCAGGAGCUUGCUCCUGUGAUUAGUGGCGAACGGGUGAGUAACACGUGAGUAACCUGCCCCUGACUCUGGGAUAAGCGUUGGAAACGACGUCUAAUACUGGAUAUGAUCACUGGCCGCAUGGUCUGGUGGUGGAAAGAUUUUUUGGUUGGGGAUGGACUCGCGGCCUAUCAGCUUGUUGGUGAGGUAAUGGCUCACCAAGGCGACGACGGGUAGCCGGCCUGAGAGGGUGACCGGCCACACUGGGACUGAGACACGGCCCAGACUCCUACGGGAGGCAGCAGUGGGGAAUAUUGCACAAUGGGCGAAAGCCUGAUGCAGCAACGCCGCGUGAGGGAUGACGGCCUUCGGGUUGUAAACCUCUUUUAGUAGGGAAGAAGCGAAAGUGACGGUACCUGCAGAAAAAGCACCGGCUAACUACGUGCCAGCCGCCGCCGUAACAC
rnacentral:rRNA from 1 species